UAGUGAAGUGGUCAGAGAGGUCAUGACGAGUCCUCAUCUCCGCUGUCGAGCGGCGAAGAGAAGGAGGAGAUGUCGGCGAUGCGAUGGUGGAUGUUAGAUUCAGCUAGGCAUUUGAUUGGUUUGGGUUUGGAGGUGAUCCAUUCGAAGAUUUAUCUCUGGAGAGGAGGGGGUUUGUAUUGUGUGAUUUGAGGGGAUGUUCGGUGCUUCUUCUAUUUUUUUUGAUUUAGG
rnacentral:lncRNA from 1 species